rnacentral:tRNA from 1 species
GGUUUCGUAGCUCAACUGGAUAGAGCAUCGCCCUUCUAAGGCGAGGGUUUCGGGUUCGACUCCCGACGAAAUCA